AAUUCAUUUAUAAAGAAUAAUCUUUUUUUAGAAA
rnacentral:tRNA from 2 species